CAAGAGAGGCCGGCGACACUAGGAACUGCUAAUUCCUCAGUCAUUGAGGUUCAACUCCUCAACUCACUUG
rnacentral:tRNA from 1 species